rnacentral:rRNA from 1 species
UACGACUACAUAUCAGGCAUAUCAAUAAGCGGAGGAAAAGAAACUAACUAGGAUUCCCUUCAGUAACGGCGAGUGAAGCGGGAAGAGCUCAAAUUUGAAAUCUUCAAGGUUUUACCUUGACGAAUUGUAGUUUAAAGAAGUGUUUUCUGUUGAGUUUCGGUAAAAGUUCUUUGGAAUAGGACAUCAUAGAGGGUGAGAAUCCCGUAUUUGACCAUUACUUUCCAGCUGUGUGAUACACUUUCAAAGAGUCGGAUUGUUUGGGAAUGCAGUCCAAAAUGGGUGGUAAAUUUCAUCUAAAGCUAAAUAUUGGCGAGAGACCGAUAGCGAACAAGUACCGUGAGGGAAAGAUGAAAAGAACUUUGAAAAGAGAGUUAAACAGUACGUGAAAUUGUCAAAAGGGAAGCGUUUGACACCAGUGUUGUUUUCUCGAAAAUCAAUUAAAAAGUAUGGGAUUUUGUAUUGUUAAGACCUUAUCAGCUUACGGUACUUUUUUCUUAUUCUUUUUAAUGCACUUUUCGUUUAACAAGUCAACAUCAAUUUCUUUUGUUGUAAAAGAGUCAUUGGAAGGUGGCUUUCACUUCGGUGAAAGUGUUUAUAGCCUUUGGCUUCUGCAAUCGGAGAGAUUGAGGUCUGCAGCGUAGAUCCUUCGGGGUUAGAUACGUAGAUGCUAAGUUAUAGUUUUUCAUAGACAACUUGUUGACUAUGAUUAAUCAUGUAGCUUACUCGUUUGCGCUAUUUUACCUACGCUUAGGAUGUUGAAUCUGUGCGAGACUA